UGCAGCGACGCCGCGUGAGGGAUGACGGCCUUCGGGUUGUAAACCUCUUUCAGCAGGGAAGAAGCGAGAGUGACGGUACCUGCAGAAGAAGCGCCGGCUAACUACGUGCCAGCAGCCGCGGUAAUACGUAGGGCGCAAGCGUUGUCCGGAAUUAUUGGGCGUAAAGAGCUCGUAGGCGGCUUGUCACGUCGGAUGUGAAAGCCCGGGGCUUAACCCCGGGUCUGCAUUCGAUACGGGCAGGCUAGAGUUCGGUAGGGGAGAUCGGAAUUCCUGGUGUAGCGGUGAAAUGCGCAGAUAUCAGGAGGAACACCGGUGGCGAAGGCGGAUCUCUGGGCCGAUACUGACGCUGAGGAGCGAAAGCGUGGGGAGCGAACAGGAUUAGAUACCCUGGUAGUCCACGCCGUAAACGUUGGGAACUAGGUGUGGGCGACAUUCCACGUCGUCCGUGCCGCAGCUAACGCAUUAAGUUCCCCGCCUGGGGAGUACGGCCGCAAGGCUAAAACUCAAAGGAAUUGACGGGGGCCCGCACAAGCAGCGGAGCAUGUGGCUUAAUUCGACGCAACGCGAAGAACCUUACCAAGGCUUGACAUACACCGGAAAACCCUGGAGACAGGGUCCCCCUUGUGG
rnacentral:rRNA from 1 species